UGUAUGUUGGCUGCAAAAUCUGGCCUAUGUAACUUUGAGAAGACGAAAGCAUUUCUAGAGGAACAAAAGCAUCAGGUUGAGGCAACUCCUGUCCCUGGCACCUACAACAAUAAGUACAGUUAGACAUCUGGGAAGGGGAAUAUGUAGGGUGACCCACCUGGAGGGCCAAGUCAUGGUGGAGGCUGAAGUUCCUGGAGUGAGAGGGGCAGCAGGAUGAGAGGAUGAUGAGAGAGACACUGCCAGAGGAGGAUGCGGCAGCUGGAAGAGCUAAUCCUAAGGAUCAUCAGGAGGAGGCACAACUAGCAUGAGGACAAGAGAGAGCGAUGAUCGAAAUGGAUUGUUUGGAUUAUAAAGAUGUGUGAUCCAUACCAGCCUCUACAUUUGAGGAAAUUAAAUGACAAAAUGACCACAUACAUCAGUUUAUAAGCAUAUAAAGGAGAAAGUGAAUAUAAACCCCAG